UCUUCUAAUUUUUUGUUCUUGUUCUUUCUCUUUUCUUUUUUUUUUUCCUCCCCCCUAAUGAAAUAAGAAUGGGGGUUUAAAUAGGUGUUGAGCGUUAAACCCCCACUCUUCUUGAAAACUUAAGAGUCAAUGCAUGCAUUAGACUCUUUGUUUUCCCAAGGUGCCACCAAAGAAGGCCAAUGGAAUUUCCUUUCUUUUCUUUUUCUUUUUCUUUUUUCAAGAUAAAAUUAAUUGAAAGACUACAUUGCCCUUUUUAGAUGACCCAUUUCUUUUAUUCAUUAAUUGAAUAAUAGCUAAAUGGGUCAUCUGAAAAUUUAGAAUAGGC
rnacentral:lncRNA from 1 species